AAACUCAAAUGGCCUUCCCGGGAGAAAUAGGCUUGGGCAAACUCCCGCCCCACCAGCCGCGGUAAGACGGAGGAUCCAAGUGUUAUCCGGAAUCACUGGGCGUAAAGCGUCUGUAGGUGGCUUAACAAGUCAACUGUUAAAUCUUGAAGCUCAACUUCGAAAUCGCAGUCGAAACUGUUAGGCUAGAGUAUAGUAGGGGUAAAGGGAAUUUCCAGUGGAGCGGUGAAAUGCGUAGAGAUUGGAAAGAACACCGAUGGCGAAGGCACUUUACUGGGCUAUUACUGACACUCAGAGACGAAAGCUAGGGUAGCAAAUGGGAUUAGAUACCCCAGUAGUCCUAGCCGUAAACAAUGGAUACUAGAUGUUGGGCAGAUCGACCUGUUCAGUAUUAAAGCUAACGCGUUAAGUAUCCCGCCUGGGAAGUAUGCGCGCAAGCGUGAAACUCAAAGGAAUUGACGGGGGCCCGCACAAGCGGUGGAGCAUGUGGUUUAAUUCGAUGCAACGCGAAGAACCUUACCAGGGUUUGACAUGAUACGAAUUUUUUUGAAAGAAAAAAGUGCCGUUUGGAACGUAUACACAGGUGGUGCAUGGCUGUCGUCAGCUCGUGUCGUGAGAUGUUGGGUUAAGUCCCGCAACGAGCGCAACCCUUAUUUUUAGUUGCCUUUUAUGGAACUCUAGAAAGACUGCUGGUUAUAAACCGGAGGAAGGCGGGGAUGACGUCAAGUCAGCAUGCCCCUUACACCCUGGGCUACACACGUGCUACAUUGGGCGAGACAAUGAGACGCAAACCUGCGAAGGCUAGCUAAUCUAUAAACUCGUUCUAAGUUCGGAUUGUAGGCUGCAACUCGCCUGCAUGAAGGUGGAAUCGCUAGUAAUCGCUGGUCAGCAUACAGCGGUGAAUUCGUUCCCGGGCCUUGUACACACCGCCCGUCACACCAUGGAAGCUGGUUAUACCCGAAGUCGUUACUCUAACCGUUUGGAGGAGGAUGCCUAAGGUAGAAUUAGUGACUAGGGUGAAGUCGUAACAAGGUAACCGUA
rnacentral:rRNA from 1 species